rnacentral:rRNA from 1 species
UUAGGACCGGGAUAACCUUGGGAAACUGAGGAUAAUACUGGAUAGGCAAUUUUUCCUGUAAUGGUUUUUUGUUUAAAUGUUUUUUCGCCUAAGGAUGGGUCUGCGGCCGAUUAGGUAGUUGGUUAGGUAACGGCUUACCAAGCCGUUGAUCGGUACGGGUUGUGAGAGCAAGAGCCCGGAGAUGGAACCUGAGACAAGGUUCCAGGCCCUACGGGGUGCAGCAGGCGCGAAACCUCCGCAAUGUGAGAAAUCGCGACGGGGGGAUCCCAAGUGCCAUUCUUAACGGGAUGGCUUUUCAUUAGUGUAAAAAGCUUUUGGAAUAAGAGCUGGGCAAGACCGGUGCCAGCCGCCGCGGUAACACCGGCAGCUCUAGUGGUAGCAAUUUUUAUUGGGCCUAAAGCGUCCGUAGCCGGUUUAAUAAGUCUCUGGUGAAAUCCUGUAGCUUAACUGUGGGAAUUGCUGGAGAUACUAUUAGACUUGAGACCGGGAAAGGUUAGAGGUACUCCCAGGGUAGAGGUGAAAUUCUGUAAUCCUGGGAGGACCGCCUGUUGCGAAGGCGUCUAACUGGAACGGUUCUGACGGUGAGGGACGAAAGUUAGGGGCGCGAAC